AGAGUUUGAUCCUGGCUCAGAGCGAACGCUGGCGGCGUGCCUAACACAUGCAAGUCGAACGUGAAAGGGAGCAAUCCUGAGUAAAGUGGCGUACGGGUGAGUAACGCGUAGGUAAUCUACCCCAGAGUCUGGAAUAACCUGCCGAAAGGCGGGCUAAUACUGGAUAGAGCGAGGGAAUCGGUCAUACGAUUUUUCGGGAA
rnacentral:rRNA from 1 species